AUGCAUGCUUAUGUUAUCCACAGCUGUGUUUCAAUCAGCAAGGCCAUUGAUCCGAGGAUGGCGGACCACUUCGUGCUCAUCACGGGGCGGAUGAUCACGGAGGCGACGCUUCAGGGUGCCAUCUUCGACGCCCCUUCCGCGAAGGAUGCUUGUGAUCAUCAUGAUCCUUCUAUUUUUGAGGACGGGAGGACCAAGACUGGUGUCGUGGUGGAAUGCAGAAUCUGCCAGGAAGAAGGUGAUCAGGCCUACAUGGAGACCCCUUGCUCCUGCAAGGGUAGCCUCAAGUACGCUCACCACAUAUGCAUCCAGAGGUGGUGUAACGAGAAGGGAGACACCAUAUGUGAGAUAUGCUUACAGCAAUUUACACCAAACUACAGUGCCCCUUUGAAGUUGUUUCGGAUCGGAAGAAACCAAAUUAGCUUCAGGAGAGCCGGAGAAACACCAGCGAAUCUCAACGCUGGAGAAAAUGUUUCCCAAAUCGGUGAUCAUGCUGCUGGCACAUCAAGCUUUGACUCUCAAUUUUGCAAUCCAAAAGGCGUCACCUACUGCCGUGUGAUUGCCAUCGCCUUGAUGGCUCUGCUGGUGCUCCGUGACGCAAUCUCGCUUGUCCUCGGCGGCCCCGAGGUGUACUCGAUGGCACUGAUCACUCUGCUGAUGUUCAGAACAGCCGGAGUUGUCAUACCCAUCUACAUUAUCUUGAUAUCAGUUGUCACAUUGCUCCAUCAGUACAGUCAACACCAGGAUGUGCAUGGCGCGACGCCAGUUACAGAACCUGUAGGAACUGAGGACUCACAGAGCCUGCCGCCGACGCCACCUCAACAGCAUGUCAUCAGCAUCCAGUAA
rnacentral:rRNA from 1 species